rnacentral:rRNA from 1 species
AUUGAACGCUGGCGGCAGGCCUAACACAUGCAAGUCGGACGGUAGCACAGAGGAGCUUGCUCCUUGGGUGACGAGUGGCGGACGGGUGAGUAAUGUCUGGGGAUCUGCCCGAUAGAGGGGGAUAACCACUGGAAACGGUGGCUAAUACCGCAUAACGUCGCAAGACCAAAGAGGGGGACCUUCGGGCCUCUCACUAUCGGAUGAACCCAGAUGGGAUUAGCUAGUAGGCGGGGUAAUGGCCCACCUAGGCGACGAUCCCUAGCUGGUCUGAGAGGAUGACCAGCCACACUGGAACUGAGACACGGUCCAGACUCCUACAGGAGGCAGCAGUGGGGAAUAUUGCACAAUGGGCGCAAGCCUGAUGCAGCCAUGCCGCGUGUAUGAAGAAGGCCUUCGGGUUGUAAAGUACUUUCAGCGGGGAGGAAGGCGACGCGGUUAAUAACCGCGUCGAUUGACGUUACCCGCAGAAGAAGCACCGGCUAACUCCGUGCCAGCAGCCGCAGUAA